CCUACGGGUGGCAGCAGUGAGGAAUAUUGGUCAGUGGGCGCUAGCCUGAACCAGCCAAGUAGCGUGAAGGAUGACUGCCCUAUGGGUUGUAAACUUCUUUUAUAUGGGAAUAAAGUUCAGUAUGUAUACUGCUUUGCAUGUACCUUAUGAAUAAGGAUCGGCUAACUCCGUGCCAGCAGCCGCGGUAAUACGGAGGAUCCGAGCGUUAUCCGGAUUUAUUGGGUUUAAAGGGAGCGUAGGCGGGUUGUUAAGUCAGUUGUGAAAGUUUGCGGCUCAACCGUAAAAUUGCGGUGGAUACUGGAAUCCUUGAGUGCAGGAGAGGUAGGCGGAAUUCGUGGUGUAGCGGUGAAAUGCUUAGAUAUCACGAAGAACUCCGAUUGCGAAGGCAGCCUGCUGGACUGUAACUGACGCUGAGGCGGGGGGGGGGGGGUAUCAAACAGGAUUAGAUACCCUUGUAGUC
rnacentral:rRNA from 1 species